ACAGCUUCUCUGGGCAACCACAGCAGCAUUUAAUCUGAAAACAGCUCUUUCUCCUACCUGGUGUUGCCCAUUUACUUCUUACCCUGUGUUAGCUGGCUGGACCUGAUGGGCUUCCCCAUGAUCUGGCAAGGCAGAGUCUCCCAAACAUUGCUCAACUCCAGCCUUGUCACUGUGUCUGGAUGUCAGCGCAUGGUGAGCCCUGUCCAGGCAGAGACACGCACACAGCGCUGCUUGGAAUUCAGGAUGGGGCCAUCAUCCCUGCUCCAACAGCCAGAGCAGCAAGGUUCCUCUCCUGCUUCAUCUGUCACCUCCUUCCAGCCAGCUGGUGGCAGUGAGGGAGCUGCAGGGUGACAUGGAAUGGUGGCAUCAGCAACAGGCACAUGCCCACCACAAGGACUUUGCUAGCUCAAAGCUGGGGUUUCUGCCCAAAACACCCACACUAACAGCAUGAGUUAACAAAAGCAAACAUCCAUCCCCAAAGCCCCCCAUCCCCAGCCCUCUCCUGCAGUCCUGCCCCCAUCUCAGCACCUCACAGUCCCCAGGGCCCUUGCAUGGCUGUGAUUCUCAAGCUUGGUUCAUACACCUGCUGAUGAAGAAGAAAAAGUCCCAGAUUACUGGGUUGAUGAUUGACCCUAGGCAUUCAAAUAGCAGCCAGGGUUCCUGUGACUGUGGAGGAACAGCAGGUAUCACCAGGGACUGUCUCCACCUCCCUGCGUGGGUGGUGGAAGCCACCAGCCCUGGGGACCAUAUGCACAGCACCCUGCAGGACUCAGGAGGAGUAUGAGCUCCUCCAGACUUACCAAAGACUAAGUAGUAUCAGUACAGAGACAGGAUAUGAGAAACCAUUAAUUAAUUCAUUUACUCAUUAACUUACUAGAACUGGGCUCUUUAAUCUUCCAAGCAGUGGUGAAACAACCUUUGUUGACUAAAGGAGCAGAAGUUAGACAAAUUCAAACAACAAACAAAACAUGUAGUGCUCCAUGGCCACUCAAAAGCGUUUUAAUGAAAAGUGGCUGACUAACCAUGGACCGAGUGAGCUGGGGAUCCCUUCCCAGAGGCCAGGCCUGGGUGCCUUUCACUGUGGCAGAGCAGACAGCAGGAUUUGGGGGGUAGUGUGGUACAGAGCUGUGCAGGGACACAGGAAUGUGCAUACUCACUUCAAACCCCGGGGCGCUGGCUGCUCACUGCUCCAGCUCUUGUCUGCACCCCAGGAUGGCAGGGAUGGGGGAACAGCCUUACUGGAGGCUGAGCACCACACCGUGCCCUUCCCUACCAUAGCUGGGCAUUUGUAUCGAGACAGGAGACAUGGAUUUAGUCCCGUGCCUCUGCUACCCGUACCUGGAGCAGGCACCUGGCACCAAUUCACCCAUGUUCACAAAGCCAUUAGGAAAACAGUUAGACAAAUUAAAGGAAGAAAAGCAACCAUUAAGGACUAUCAAACACCAUCUCUGCCUGGGGAAAGGCCAGGAGCAAUUCACUUUUAAUUCCUGUAGUCUGUAAACCACAACAAAGUCUCGUCCCAGUUGUCAUCCUCAGGCUUCUACAGCCCUUGGGUCCCUCCUGGAACAGUCAGACAAAAGCCAUCCGUGCUGUCCUGUGGCUCAAGCAACAUCCCUGAUCUCCGUGAUGCGGCAGCGAUGUUCAGAACCACUCCAUAUUGGAAUCCCUGAUCAGCUCCUGUAAGGAAGACCCAGCACUGCAGCAGGGUUGAGUAUUCUCUGAAGGACAGGACACAACAGCCCAUUCUGCACAGCCCCAAGCUCUUCUGGGGGGGCAAGGGGAGCAGUAUUUCUCAUCAAAGAAGAAACCUGGAAGAGACGGUUGGCAAUGGAAGCACCAACUAUUAUGACAAGAUACUGAAUUAUCACAACAAAACAGCCUGAAAUGGCUCCACAAUAAUUUGUAAACUUUGUUUAAUUUUAUGGAUGAAAACUUGUAUCUCAUAAAAAAAUAUAGACAGAAAAAAAAUAUCAA